AGCGUUGCUCGGAAUCACUGGGCGUAAAGGGCGCGUAGGCGGGAUGGCAAGUCAGUCGUGAAAUCUCUCGGCUCAACCGAGAAACGUCGGCUGAUACUGCCGUUCUUGAGGGAUGCAGAGGAGACUGGAAUUCCCGGUGUAGCGGUGAAAUGUGUAGAGAUCGGGAGGAACACCGGUGGCGAAGGCGGGUCUCUGGGCAUCUCCUGACGCUGAGGCGCGAAAGCGUGGGGAGCAAACGGG
rnacentral:rRNA from 1 species